AUAGCUCAGCAGGUAGAGCACUUCCAUGGUAAGGAAGAGGUCACCGGUUCAAUUCCGGUUGUGGGCUCCA
rnacentral:tRNA from 1 species